rnacentral:lncRNA from 1 species
CGCGGGGGGCGCGUUCCGAGGGCUGAGGGCGGACGGUGGCGGAGAGCCCGGCCGUGACCCCCUCCCCGCAGUGCUGCAGUUCGGCUUCGUCACCAUCUUCGUGGCCGCCUGUCCGCUCGCGCCGCUCUUCGCCCUGCUCAACAACUGGGUGGAGAUCCGCUUGGACGCGCGCAAGUUCGUCUGCGAGUACCGGCGCCCGGUGGCCGAGCGCGCCCAGGACAUCGGCAUCUGGUUCCACAUCCUGGCGGGCCUCACGCACCUGGCGGUCAUCAGCAACGCCUUCCUCCUGGCCUUCUCGUCCGACUUCCUGCCGCGCGCCUACUACCGGUGGACCCGCGCCCACGACCUGCGCGGCUUCCUCAACUUCACGCUGGCGCGAGCCCCGUCCUCCUUCGCCGCCGCGCACAACCGCACGUGCAGGUAUCGGGCUUUCCGGGAUGACGAUGGACAUUAUUCCCAGACCUACUGGAAUCUUCUUGCCAUCCGCCUGGCCUUCGUCAUUGUGUUUGAGCAUGUGGUUUUCUCCGUUGGCCGCCUCCUGGACCUCCUGGUGCC